AACUGGUUUACACAGAAGGAUAAAUAAUACAUAAAUAAGAUGAUCCAGUACCAGUACCAUUGACCAAAGCAAGCACCUUCUGCACCAGGAUAGGUGUGUGGAAAUAUUGCUCUAUGUCCACCAGUAGGUGGCACUAACAUUUGCUAGAGGUGAUUCUCAUUGGAGGCAGAGUCCCUCCCUACUUCCUGCCUGUACUUCUUGUUGAACUUGACUCUUCCGGUCACAGAAUAAAGUAGCCUUAGCUUAUUAUAGCUGCCUUCCUUUGAGGCUGAGCUCUCAUGACAUGGUGUCAGAAGUCCAUUUGAAUCCACAAACUUUUGAAAUGGCUCACUUUCCUGCACCAGAAGCUUUCAGCUUUGACAAUCCUGCUGCUUGGCCAGAAUGGAAAGAAAGAUUUGCUUGCUUCAGACUAGCUACAAAGCUCCACAAAGAAGAAGGCGUUGUGCAAAGUAAGUGACUUUCUUUAUGCCAUGGGAAAGGAAACAAACAGCAUCUAUAAAUCCUUUACCUUUGCUGAAGAAGGUCAGAAGAAUGACUAUGAGACUGUCUUGGCUAAAUUUGAUGCCCAUGUCAUUCCAAAAUGGAAUGUGCUCUAUGAGAGGGCUUGCUUUUAUCAAAGGACACAGAAAUCUGGGGGAAAGAUUGAGUCAUUUGUUAGAGGACUGCAUGAACUCUCUGAGCACUGUGACUUUGCAGACCAGAAGGAAGAAUAUCUCAAAGACAGGCUUGUCCUUGGGAUUCUGGAUAAAGGGCUAUCAGAGCAAAGGCAACUCACAGAAAAGCUAACUCUUCAUAAAGCUAUUGAAAUGGCAAGGCAAUCGGAGUUAAUAAAAGCACAGAUCAGGGAGCAGAGGAAACCUGAAACCAGUUUGGAAGAAAUAGCCUUUUUUCUACAAAACACUAAGAACAGAAAGAGUAGCUCCUUUGGAAAUGCAAAUUUUAAAUCUGGAGCUGCAAGGGCCGAACAAAAGAAAUCCCCAAGCAAAGCAGCCCAACCAUUUCAAAAGCACACUGCAGCAAAAAGGCAUACACUCCCAGUCUGCAUGAUGUGGGAGGAUGCAUGCAUAACAUACUUUAGAGGAAUUUGUCCUGCUAGAGGUGCAAGAAAUGUUCAAAAAUUGGGCACUUUGCAAUUGCAUGUCAUACACAGAAGUUACCACAGAAGUGGAGGAUCAAUUGUUCUUAGACUUCAUUCUUUGCAAAGACACUGAACCUGCAUCGAGGAUUGAUUUAAUGAUUAACAGCAAGACUGUAAAUUUCAAAAUAGAUUCAAGCGCGGAUGUCUCAGUGUUCUCAAAGGAGACCUAUGACAGCCUCCAGAAUCCUCCACCACUACACCAAACGGAGACUAUUCUACGCAGCCCAGGAGGUCCCUUAGACUGUAUGGGAUACCUUAUGACACAAACCAGUCAUAAAGGCAACUAAUAUGAGUUUUCUGUGUAUGUGCUUAGAGCCCAUGAGAGCUAGACAAUCUCCUCAGUCGAGUAGCUUCCAGAAUGGGACUGAAGAAAGCAGUGGGAGAAAUAGGAGUGAUUGGGGACAUUGGCCUGCUCAGCGGAGACCCUGUGGACAUUGUCUUAAGACAGGAUGCUAAGCCAUAUAGAGUCCAUGCUCCCCGCAGGAUUCCCAUUCCCUUACUCCACAAAGUGGAAAUAGAGCUGGAAAGGUUGAAGGCACAUGGCGUAAUUAAAGAAAUCACAGAGCCUACACCGUGGUGUGCACUAGUGGUCCCAGUCACAAAGGAAAAUGGAAAAAUCUGUAUAUGUGUAGAUCUGAAAAGACUCAAUGAAGCAGUUGUUAGAGAAAAAUAUGUACUCUCAACCCUGGAAGAUCUUCCAAAAGGGCUGGGAGAAAUUGCUUUACAGUGGCUUCAUUUCUUCCUGCUGGUCCUGAAGUGCAUGGAGUCCCUCAAAGCUGUCCACGGAGAAAACAUUCUCAUCUGAUGAAGCAAUUUUGCGCAACUCAUCUUUAGCUGCUUCUUGUGUACGGAAAAACUGACCAACCUGGAACACACAAUAGGGAGAUCCCUUUGGAUGGAGGGCAGGCGAUAUCUACCCCCUUCUGGAACCACGCAUGUCCUUCUAGAACCUUCCACCUCCCAAACAGAAACGCUGCCCCUGAAAUGAAAAACCACACUUUACCUCCUUGAGCAAAGAACCCGCACUCAAACAGGAAGACAUCGAUUCCACGGAACCACCCCCACUCCAAACACAGAAGAUAUAAACUCAUCAGAACAAUAAACUGAGCAGAUUCAUAGAUUUGCAGUUACUUUAUUUCAGCAUCAGCAAUGUCACCAAAGCCAGACAGUGCCCCCAAGACCCAUUGAAAUAGCAAGUUAACAAGCGUGGAAUUCCAAAGAUCAGGGGCCGCAACGGAGAAGGUCCUCUUUCUCCCAUGCCCACCUGCAUUUGGCCAUUGUGGCUGGGGACGGUGGGAGUUGUCGCCCAACCUCUGGAGGAGGCAGAGAACCCCUGCAUGAGGGCUUUAACACAGGGGUGGAUUAAGCUCUUCGCUGCCUGUAGGCGGCCAAAGAUUUGCCAUCCCAGCAGCAAGGGAGGAAGGGGGGCGGAUUCAAUUCUACUUUUUAACAUUUAGAUUGCCACCACACAGUAGUGCGGCAGCACAAGCUCCUGUUGCACCUGCCCACCCACCUCCCAAAUUAUGGCGGCAGCAGUGGGGUUUGUGUGGGAUAC